CUAAGAAUAUUCCGCAAUGGACGAAAGCCUGACGCAGCAACGCCGUGUGAGGGAUGAAGGCUUUCGGGUCGUAAACCUCUGUCGGAAGGGAAGAACGGGCAUUGGUCUAAUAGGCCUUUGUUUUGACGGUACCUUUAGAGGAAGCACCGGCUAACUCCGUGCCAGCAGCCGCGGUAAUACGGAGGGUGCAAGCGUUAUUCGGAAUUACUGGGCGUAAAGCGCACGUAGGCGGCUUCGUAAGUCAGGGGUGAAAUCCCACGGCUCAACCGUGGAACUGCCUUUGAAACUGCAAAGCUUGAAUCCUGGAGAGGGUGGCGGAAUUCCUGGUGUAGGAGUGAAAUCCGUAGAUAUCAGGAGGAACACCGGUGGCGAAGGCGGCCACCUGGACAGGUAUUGACGCUGAGGUGCGAAAGUGUGGGGAGCAAACA
rnacentral:rRNA from 1 species